rnacentral:rRNA from 1 species
GAUGAACGCUAGCGGCAGGCUUAACACAUGCAAGUCGAGGGGUAUAGUUCUUCGGAACUAGAGACCGGCGCACGGGUGCGUAACGCGUAUGUAAUCUACCUUUUGCAGGGGGAUAGCCCAGAGAAAUUUGGAUUAAUACCCCAUAGUAUGUUGUGGUGGCAUCACUAUAACAUUAAAGUUCCAACGGUAAAAGAUGAGCAUGCGUCCCAUUAGCUAGAUGGUAAGGGAACGGCUUACCAAGGCUACGAUGGGUAGGGGUCCUGAGAGGGAGAUCCCCCACACUGGUACUGAGACACGGACCAGACUCCUACGGGAGGCAGCAGUGAGGAAUAUUGGACAAUGGGCGCAAGCCUGAUCCAGCCAUGCCGCGUGCAGGAUGACGGUCCUAUGGAUUGUAAACUGCUUUUGUACAGGAAGAAACACUCCCUCGUGAGGGAGCUUGACGGUACUGUAAGAAUAAGGAUCGGCUAACUCCGUGCCAGCCGCCGCCGUAA